rnacentral:rRNA from 1 species
GACGUAGGUGGCAAGCGUUGUUCGGAAUCACUGGGCAUAAAGCGCACGUAGGCGGCCAAGUAAGUCAGGUGUGAAAUACCUCGGCUCAACCGAGGAACUGCGCCUGAUACUGCUUGGCUUGAGGUCCGGAGGGGAGAGUGGAAUUCCCGGUGGAGCGGUGAAAUGCGUAGAGAUCGGGAAGAACGCCGGCGGCGAAAGCGACUCUCUGGUCGGAAUCUGACGCUGAGGUGCGAAAGCUAGGGGAGCAAACGGG